GUGCUCACUUUGGCAGCACAUGUACUAACAUUGGAAUGAUACAGAGAAGAUCAGCACGGCCCCUGUGCAAGGAUGAUGUGUAAAGAGGAACCACCCAAAGAGAAAGACUUUU
ensembl:snRNA U6 U6 spliceosomal RNA